rnacentral:tRNA from 2 species
AAAGGGAGACCUAAUUCAGGUAAAAGACGAAAAAAAAGUAAUCGCUACCAAGAAUCAAUCCCAAAAAAUCGGAGCGAGGCGAAAUUGGCUUCCAAACUAGGUUCUGGGUUCGGGCAAGACCUGAAUCGGGAACAAGGGCUAUUAGCUCAGGUGACUAGAGCGCACCCCUGGUAAGGGUGAGGUCCCUGGCUUGAGUCCAGGAUGGCCCACCUGCACAAGUGACAAAAACAAGGGAAGCGAGGAAUCAGCACCUUAUCUUACUUAUAUAAUAAGAGAGAAUGCUGGCUCUGAAUAAAGAGCCCAGAGGAACCUUGAAAGUUGCAUAGAGCUAGGUGGAAAAGCCAAAAAAGAAAACCGCAAGGUCGAGCUA